UGAACGCUGGCGGCGUGCCUAAUACAUGCAAGUCGAGCGAACGGACGAGAAGCUUGCUUCUCUGAUGUUAGCGGCGGACGGGUGAGUAACACGUGGAUAACCUACCUAUAAGACUGGGAUAACUUCGGGAAACCGGAGCUAAUACCGGAUGAUAUUUUGAACCGCAUGGUUCAAAAGUGAAAGACGGUCUUGCUGUCACUUAUAGAUGGAUCCGCGCUGCAUUAGCUAGUUGGUAAGGUAACGGCUUACCAAGGCAACGAUGCAUAGCCGACCUGAGAGGGUGAUCGGCCACACUGGAACUGAGACACGGUCCAGACUCCUACGGGAGGCAGCAGUAGGGAAUCUUCCGCAAUGGGCGAAAGCCUGACGGAGCAACGCCGCGUGAGUGAUGAGGGUCUUCGGAUCGUAAAACUCUGUUAUUAGGGAAGAACAUAUGUGUAAGUAACUGUGCACAUCUUGACGGUACCUAAUCAGAAAGCCACGGCUAACUACGUG
rnacentral:rRNA from 1 species